rnacentral:rRNA from 1 species
UACCUUAUGUUGCCUCGGCGGAUCAGCCCGCGCCCCGUAAAAAGGGACGGCCCGCCGCAGGAACCCUAAACUCUGUUUUUAGUGGAACUUCUGAGUAUAAAAAACAAAUAAAUCAAAACUUUCAACAACGGAUCUCUUGGUUCUGGCAUCGAUGAAGAACGCAGCAAAAUGCGAUAAGUAAUGUGAAUUGCAGAAUUCAGUGAAUCAUCGAAUCUUUGAACGCACAUUGCGCCCGCCAGUAUUCUGGCGGGCAUGCCUGUUCGAGCGUCAUUUCAACCCUCAAGCCCAGCUUGGUGUUGGGAGCUGCAGUCCUGCUGCACUCCCCAAAUACAUUGGCGGUCACGUCGAGCUUCCAUAGCGUAGUAAUUUACACAUCGUUACUGGUAAUCGUCGCGGCCACGCCGUUAAACCCCAACUUCUGAAUGUUGACCUCGGAUCAGGUAGGAAUACCCGCUGAACUUAAGCAUAUCAAUAAGCGGAGG